GAAACCCGGUGAUCUAGCCAUGGGCAGGUUGAAGGUUGGGUAACACUAACUGGAGGACCGAACCGACUAAUGUUGAAAAAUUAGCGGAUGACUUGUGGCUGGGGGUGAAAGGCCAAUCAAACCGGGAGAUAGCUGGUUCUCCCCGAAAGCUAUUUAGGUAGCGCCUCGUGAAUUCAUCUCCGGGGGUAGAGCACUGUUUCGGCAAGGGGGUCAUCCCGACUUACCAACCCGAUGCAAACUGCGAAUACCGGAGAAUGUUAUCACGGGAGACACACGGCGGGUGCUAACGUCCGUCGUGAAGAGGGAAACAACCCAGACCGCCAGCUAAGGUCCCAAAGUCAUGGUUAAGUGGGAAACG
rnacentral:rRNA from 1 species